UAUGGCGGCCGGCGCACGGGUGAGUAACACGUAUCCAACCUGCCGAUGACUCGGGGAUAGCCUUUCGAAAGAAAGAUUAAUACCCGAUGGCAUAGUUCUUCCGCAUGGUAGAACUAUUAAAGAAUUUCGGUCAUCGAUGGGGAUGCGUUCCAUUAGGUUGUUGGCGGGGUAACGGCCCACCAAGCCUUCGAUGGAUAGGGGUUCUGAGAGGAAGGUCCCCCACAUUGGAACUGAGACACGGUCCAA
rnacentral:rRNA from 1 species